CUGAAUCCCGCACUCAAACCACCCCAUGCCCCGACCAUGCACCCCCACCAUAUAUAUACUCCUCCCUAUGUCCGUUAUGAGCGCUUGGAAGAGCAUCACCGAGUUGCAUUUGGGUCGGCUUCUUCCACGCACGACGAGCGCCCCAGAAUAUAGACGGUGUAGAUAUGCUAGCAGCCAAGAUGGAUAUUCUCAUGAAAAAGCUAGAAUCUUCGCACCAGGAGGUCAACCGGAUCAUGGAGUCUCGGAUCACAUGUGAGACAUGUGGCAAUACUAGGCAUUCGGGCAAUGAUUGCCCAUCAACUCAAGAGGACGCGAAUUUCAUUGGGAAUAGCAAUCCCAAUAACUCAGGCGUCCUCAGCAAAGUUGGAACUCCAAGCCCAACCUCCCCGUCGGCCAACAGCAAGGUAACAAUUUUAAUAACAGUUUUCAACCUUCUCUUAAAGACUUAGUGUACGGUCAAAAACAAAUAAAUGAUAACAUUAGUAAGAAAAUUCAAGCUAAUGAUAAAAUUUUGGAGUCUUUGGACACACUACUAGAGUGUUUUAACUCUGUUAUUAAAAAUCAGCUGAGUUUCAAUAAAGUGAUAGAAACUCAAGUAGCUCAGUUGGCCUCAUCUUGCCCUAACCAUAACACGGGAAAGCUACCUAGACAAUCGGAAGUGAACCCAAAGGAAAGUGUGAAUGCGUUGACUGUGCAGGCUGGAAAGUCCAUGCAGGAACCAGUUUUUCCGCAGGAUGCAGGUAACGGCGGAAGACUGUAACCGCCAGGAAUACUGAUGGUGAAGACGAAGUGCAGGAGGAGGCCGAUGAGUCCAUCACUGCUACCUAGGGAGAAAUUGAGGAAGUCCCAAGGGCUUCCCGAGAGUACCACAAUACAACCGCUUUACCAUUUCCAAAAUGGAGAAGGAGGCCGGUGGCUGACGAGCAAUUCGACAAGUUCAUCGAGGUAAUUACGAAGCAUUAUGUCAACAUACCGCUUCUUGAUGCUAUGCAGGUUCCCACUUAUGCCAAGUAUCUCAAGGAUAUCCUUGGAAACAAGAGGGCCCUACCGACCAUCGAGGUCAUACAGCUUACGGAGGAGUGUAGUGCAGGUAUACUCGAUCCUCUCCCGGAGAAGAAGGACCCAGGAUGCCCCACCAUCACAUGUUCAAUCGGAGCCCAACACUUUAAGCACGCUCUUUGCAAUCUAGGGCAAGCAUCAGUGACAUGCCAAAGGUAGUUUAUGACAAACUUAACCAUCAUGUGCUUGCCCCUACUGCUAUGUGCUUGCAGCUAGCGGACCAAUCGGUUUGUUAUCCCGUGGGAAUUGCCAAGAAUAUUCUGGUGAAAAUACGAAAUUUCUUCGUCCCCGUUGAUUUUGUCAUUCUCGACAUGGAAGUCGAGACCAAGACCCCUCUCAUUUUGGGAAGGCCAUUCUUGAGCACAAUAAAUGCACACAUUGAUGUGGAAGCUGGAGAAAUUCAACUCAACAUCAGUGGACAGAAGGAGAGAUUCGCCUUCAGACUGAAGGUCGAACAAUGCUCUCAGGCCAAAACAUUCAACCGGAAGAAAUCCGAGAAAGAGCUAGAGAAGCCAUCUACCCCAUCCCUCAACACCCUCAUCAAGUUUGUGGAGAAUCUUCAAAUUUGAGAGGAGAUCAAGGUGCAUAACCAACGGAACGUGAAGCGAAAAAUCCAACAUAAGAAAUUUCUGGAGCUCGAGUGGAAAGAGAUUGAAGCAAGAAAGUCCACGAGAAAAACAUGGCAAGUUCAUCACCGACAACAUCUCCAUCCGGUGAUGACAAUCGAACCCAAGAGUGCAACAUGUAGGUGGAGCACUAAUGUGCAAGGAGCAGAAAUGAUCACAUCCAAGCACUACUGAGCUUCAUCUAAGCUUGGGGGAGAUCCCAUGUAUCCAGGUUUUGGAUGAGUUGUGAAUGCAGGAACAGAUGAACCAAAAAUGAGGCAAUUUGGGGAAAAUCCCAGGCCGACCGAUGUCCCCUAGGCCGGUCGGCUUGGCAGUGAACCCGAAUGCCAUGUCACUGAUCCAGUGGCAAGGAAACACACCCAUAAUGCCCUUGAGCGGUGGACUUAAAGUCGGUUUGAUCCAAUGACCCGAAAGGCUUCACCCAUGGAUUGAAGGGCCCACUUGCAUGCAAGACUCAGGCAAAUAUCUAAGGUGCCACCUCCACCGACACCAGGAGAGCAUCAGGAUCGUCCAGGAGAAAGGCGGUGCCACGCGGCUAACAUCCCAAGCCGGCUGGUCUCUUCUUUCGUGCCAAGAUAGAGAAGCCACCUCGGCAGUUAUCACAACCGCCUCCAGGACUCAAUCCAAGCCGCAAGAUCAAAGUCAGUGCAGAUCAAAGGCCGGCUGGCCUCCCCUUGGCUGGCCAGCCUGAAAGUCACACAACUUCCACAACCAUUUCACUGAUGCUAUCCUUAGCCCUCCUACACUAUAAAUAGAAGGGUAUCCAUCACUUAUAAACACACACAAAAGGAGUUCUCUUCUCUCUUUUCACUUUCUAGAGUUAGAUUUAGUAGCCUGGGAGUUAGUAGUCCGGAGUCGUCAUCGAAAGUCUGGUAUAGAUCUUGUAUCUUUCCCUUUGAUAGUUUAUCAAUAUAA